GCUGGCGGCGUGCCUAAUACAUGCAAGUCGAGCGAGCAAAGUUAAAGGAAUACUUCGGUAGGAAUUUAAUAGCGCGAGCGGCGGAUGGGUGAGUAACACGUGGGCAAYCURCCCUUUAGCUUGGGAUACCACUUGGAAACAGGUGCUAAUACCAAAUAAGAAGUAAGAGCGCAUGCUCAAGCUAUGAAAGGCGGCUUUCGAGCUGUCACUAAAGGAUGRGCCCGCGGUGCAUUAGCUAGUUGGUAAGGUAACGGCUUACCAAGGCAAUGAUGCAUAGCCGAGUUGAGAGACUGAUCGGCCACAUUGGGACUGAGACACGGCCCAAACUCCUACGGGAGGCAGCAGUAGGGAAUCUUCCACAAUGGACGCAAGUCUGAUGGAGCAACGCCGCGUGAGUGAAGAAGGUUUUCGGAUCGUAAAGCUCUGUUGUUGGUGAAGAAGGACAUGGRUAGUAACUGAUCUAUGUUUGACGGUAAUCAACCAGAAAGUCACGGC
rnacentral:rRNA from 1 species